GCGGCAGUAGCUCUGUGGCAGGGCCCCGCUUCGCAUGCGGGGAGACGUGGGUUCGAUUCCCGGCUGCUUCC
rnacentral:tRNA from 1 species